AUUCCAGCUCCAAUAGCGUAUAUUAAAGUUGUUGCAGUUAAAAAGCUCGUAGUUGGAUUUCUGGCGGGAUGAACACGCCCUCAGCUGAGUGUGCAUGAGCGUCUCACCAUCCUUCUGUUAACCCUUAAGGUUUUAACGACCUUCUGGGGGCUCAGAUAUUUUACCUUGAGAAAAUUAGAGUGUUUCAAGCAGGCAAUUGCAGGAAUACAUUAGCAUGGAAUAACGAAUGGGUCUACAAUUUGGUUGAUUGUAGAUUGCGAUUAAUAGGGACAGUUGGGGGCAUUAGUAUUUAAUUGUCAGAGGUGAAAUUCUUGGAUUAGUUAAAGACUAACGUAUGCGAAAGCAUUUGCCAAGGAUGUUUUCAUUA
rnacentral:rRNA from 1 species